UUUGUACUCCCUCCGUCCCAAAAUUCUUGUCUUAAAUUUGUCUAAAUACAGAUGUAUCUAGUUACAUUUUAAGUGUUAGAUACAUCCGUAUCUAAACAAAUGUAAGACAAGAAUUUUGGGACGGAGGGAAUACUAC
rfam:Triticum aestivum genome assembly, contig: Triticum_aestivum_CS42_TGACv1_scaffold_132003_2BL